rnacentral:tRNA from 1 species
GCGCCCGUAGCUCAAUUGGAUAGAGCGCAGGCCUCCGGAGCCUGUGGUCCCCGUUCAAGUCGGGGCGGGCGUACCC